GACUCAUGCUGCAGACAGUGACAUGCAGCCAUCAAAACUCCUCAUGGGGACAGCGCUCACUGCUGGGAACUCCGUCCUCCACUCGCCCCUCCUGAGCUGUGACUCCCCCUGCACCAGAGCUGAGGCCUGGCACAACUCACAACACCGAUGCAGCCAUACUGAUAAGGGAUUUUGGAGUCCCCCCCCCCCAAGCACGAUUCCUUUGCAAUGGGGAAAUGGAGGUGAGGUGCUGCCUCACCUCCAACCGUGUUUUCUCCAAGCCACAAACCCGCCCUGGUUCCCCCCUGAACCGCCUCCGUGCCCCCCCGCCGCGCUGUGUGCGCUUGGGGGAGCAGCGGGCGCUGAUUGCUGCUGACAGCCGCGCCGUGCUGGCCGUGUGCGGAGGGGCCGUGGGUCUAACCCUGCUGCUUCCCUCCGCACCAUGAUCAUCCGCCCCCGCCGCCUGACCCCGGGCUAUUUCCGCCUGCUCCAGAUGCAGCUGGCAGCAGGGCGGGGGGCUGAGCCCAGGGAGCGGGCACUGCCCCCCAUGGCCUUGCUGCUGGCGGCUGCUGGGCUCUGCCUCUCCCUCUACAGUGCCCGGAGGAUGGCUGGGCCCCCCAAGGUCCCCCCACAGCCCUGAUGGGCCACAGAGAUGGUCCCCAGGUGCUCAUCUAGGCCUUGGGAUGGUGCCAUGGCUCCCCCCAGCCAACCUACGCCACUGCUCCAUCCUGCCCAUCCAUGCCUUGGAGCUGGAGAACAUACACCUAUCUCUGUCUUGGGAGCCGGGAUGCCACCAGAACGGGACACAAAGUUGACUCAAGCCCCCAACAACAUGAAGGGAUGCAGUGAGCAGGGCCCAGGGCCACCAGUGCAGCCCCAGGCCCCACCAAAGCCCCAGGACUGGGCACGAGACCAGAGGAUAGAAGAGCAGAUGAAGGAGCCGAGUGCAACGUCCACCCCCCCGUUUGAGGCAGAAAGGAGGUCAGCUCUGAGCAGCGUUAGGUAAUACAGCACUGGGACCAGGAACAGCCUCUGAAAUGUGUGCACACGGGGCUGCCUCCUUCCCAAGUGCAACCACAGCUUUCCCCUUCUCCACGCUCAUUGACUCUGAGCGGAGAGCGGAGCUGCUCCCCCCGGCAGAGUUGGACGCUGACAGCUGAAUUUGGUUGCUUUGAUCUCUGAAGGCAGGGGGGAACAAAUCCAGGCAGUGUGCAUGGAAAUAAAUCCUUUCCCUCUGAA